rnacentral:rRNA from 1 species
GACGAACGCUGGCGGCGUGCUUAACACAUGCAAGUCGAGCGGAAAGGCCCCUUUGGGGGUACUCGAGUGGCGAACGGGUGAGUAACACGUGAGUAACCUGCCCUUGACUUCGGGAUAACUUCAGGAAACUGGGGCUAAUACCGGAUAGGAAUCCUUGCUGCAUGGUGGGGGUUGGAAAGCUUCGGCGGUUUUGGAUGGACUCGCGGCUUAUCAGCUUGUUGGUGGGGUAGUGGCUUACCAAGGCUUUGACGGGUAGCCGGCCUGAGAGGGCGACCGGCCACAUUGGGACUGAGAUACGGCCCAGACUCCUACGGGAGGCAGCAGUGGGGAAUAUUGCACAAUGGGCGGAAGUCUGAUGCAGCAACGCCGCGUGCGGGAUGACGGCCUUCGGGUUGUAAACCGCUUUCAGCAGGGGCGAAGCUUGUGGUGACGGUACCUGCAGAAGAAGCACCGGCUAACUACGUG